rnacentral:rRNA from 1 species
UACGGAGGAGGCAAGCGUUAUCCGGAAUUAUUGGGCGUAAAGCGUCCGUAGAUGGUCGUUUCAAGUCUGCUGUCAAAGACCGGGGCUUAACCCCAGAAAGGCGGUGGAAACUGAACAGCUAGAGAGAGGUAGGGGUAGAGGGAAUUCCCAGUGUAGCGGUGAAAUGCGUAGAUAUUGGGAAGAACAUCGGUGGCGAAAGCGCUCUACUGGACCGCAACUGACACUCAGGGACGAAAGCUAGGGGAGCGAAUGGG